GACGAACGCUGGCGGCGUGCCUAAUACAUGCAAGUAGAACGCUGAAGAGAGGAGCUUGCUCUUCUUGGAUGAGUUGCGAACGGGUGAGUAACGCGUAGGUAACCUGCCUUGUAGCGGGGGAUAACUAUUGGAAACGAUAGCUAAUACCGCAUAACAAUGGAUGACACAUGUCAUUUAUUUGAAAGGGGCAAUUGCUCCACUACAAGAUGGACCUGCGUUGUAUUAGCUAGUAGGUGAGGUAACGGCUCACCUAGGCGACGAUACAUAGCCGACCUGAGAGGGUGAUCGGCCACACUGGGACUGAGACACGGCCCAGACUCCUACGGGAGGCAGCAGUAGGGAAUCUUCGGCAAUGGGGGCAACCCUGACCGAGCAACGCCGCGUGAGUGAAGAAGGUUUUCGGAUCGUAAAGCUCUGUUGUAAGUCAAGAACGAGUGUGAGAGUGGAAAGUUCACACUGUGACGGUAGCUUACCAGAAAGGGACGGCUAACUACGUGCCAGCAGCCGCGGUAAUACGUAGGUCCCGAGCGUUGUCCGGAUUUAUUGGGCGUAAAAGCGAGCGCAGGCGGUUUGAUAAGUCUGAAGUUAAAGGCUGUGGCUCAACCAUAGUUCGCUUUGGAAACUGUCAAACUUGAGUGCAGAAGGGGAGAGUGGAAUUCCAUGUGUAGCGGUGAAAUGCGUAGAUAUAUGGAGGAACACCGGUGGCGAAAGCGGCUCUCUGGUCUGUAACUGACGCUGAGGCUCGAAAGCGUGGGGAGCGAACAGGAUUAGAUACCCUGGUAGUCCACGCCGUAAACGAUGAGUGCUAGGUGUUGGAUCCUUUCCGGGAUUCAGUGCCGCAGCUAACGCAUUAAGCACUCCGCCUGGGGAGUACGACCGCAAGGUUGAAACUCAAAGGAAUUGACGGGGGCCCGCACAAGCGGUGGAGCAUGUGGUUUAAUUCGAAGCAACGCGAAGAACCUUACCAGGUCUUGACAUCCCGAUGCUAUUUCUAGAGAUAGAAAGUUACUUCGGUACAUCGGUGACAGGUGGUGCAUGGUUGUCGUCAGCUCGUGUCGUGAGAUGUUGGGUUAAGUCCCGCAACGAGCGCAACCCCUAUUGUUAGUUGCCAUCAUUCAGUUGGGCACUCUAGCGAGACUGCCGGUAAUAAACCGGAGGAAGGUGGGGAUGACGUCAAAUCAUCAUGCCCCUUAUGACCUGGGCUACACACGUGCUACAAUGGUUGGUACAACGAGUUGCGAGUCGGUGACGGCAAGCUAAUCUCUUAAAGCCAAUCUCAGUUCGGAUUGUAGGCUGCAACUCGCCUACAUGAAGUCGGAAUCGCUAGUAAUCGCGGAUCAGCACGCCGCGGUGAAUACGUUCCCGGGCCU
rnacentral:rRNA from 1 species